CAACAGGGAUUGCCCUAGUAACGGCGAGUGAAGCGGCAACAGCUCAAAUUUGAAAUCUGGCUCUCGGGCCCGAGUUGUAAUUUGUAGAGGAUACUUUUGAUGCGGUGCCUUCCGAGUUCCCUGGAACGGGACGCCAUAGAGGGUGAGAGCCCCGUCUGGUUGGAUGCCAAAUCUCUGUAAAGUUCCUUCGACGAGUCGAGUAGUAAAGUACGUGAAAUUGUUGAAAGGGAAGCGUUUAUGACCAGACUUGGGCUUGGUUAAUCAUCUGGGGUUCUCCCCAGUGCACUUUUCCAGUCCAGGCCAGCAUCAGUUUUCCCCGGGGGAUAAAGACUUCGGGAAUGUGGCUCUCUUCGGGGAGUGUUAUAGCCCGUUGUGUAAUACCCUGGGGGGGACUGAGGUUCGCGCAUCUGCAAGGAU
rnacentral:rRNA from 1 species